AAUUAUUGAAAUUUUCUAAAAUUUGAAAACAAAAUAGUAUGUUGAUCGAUAUGUACAAAAGUUUCUUACUUAAUGUUUGUAAAUUAAUGAAUACUUGUAUAUAUCUGACAAAAUCAGUGAAGAGAAUAACCCAAGAAAAAUCAUAAAUCAAUCCCAUUAAUCAUAUCAUUAAAUUGGUAAUACAGUAUAACAUAUUAAUAAUUGAAUUUUCUUAUGAAACAAUUUAAAUCCAGUAUGCAGAAAAAAUUCAAGAUAUGAAUUAAAUAGAGAUUAAAAGUUAUUAUAUAGAACAAGAUACAAUCAUUGAUUUAUUAAAGUACAGUAGAUUAAUCAAUUUAUGAUGAAAUAGUUUCAUUUUAAAAGUAAAAAUUAUUUUUAUAAGUGAAAAAAACAGGUAAUUUUAACAAAUUAAGACAAUCUGCUAAAAUGAAAAUUUAUAAACCUAAUUUCUGUAUAGAAAAACUUUAAUUUUAACACAGGGCCAGCGUGACCUUUUGCAGGGCCAGGUUCAAAAAUUUUGCGGAGCCUGAAUACACAUUCAAAUCCUACACUUAAAUUUUACAUCAAGGAAUUAUUUAUUUACAAAUGCUGUUAUAUAUUAUAUAGGGGCAAAAAAAUUCAAUGAAAGUACAAAAUCUGUAAUCAUGUAUGACUUUUGCAAAAAACUAUUGAUGUAGUUUAAUUUCUCUAAAAAGUAUAUUUCUCUGAAAGCGUCUGGAUUUUUUUAUCUAAAGUAGUUUCCAGGAUAUGAGGACUUUAUGGAGUUACACUGAACUUUGAUAAUUUUUGUCACUCCUUUAAACUGAAUCAUCGCUACUAAAAAAAUGUCUUGCAUCU
rnacentral:lncRNA from 1 species